CCCUUAGAUGUUCUGGGCCGCACGCGCGUUACACUGAUGCAUUCAACGAGUUCUUCCUUGGCCGAGAGGCCUGGGCAAUCUUUUGAACGUGCAUCGUGAUAGGGAUAGAUUAUUGCAAUUAUUAAUCUUGAACGAGGAAUUCCUAGUAAACGCAGUUCAUCAAACUGCAUUGAUUACGUCCCUGCCCUUUGUACACACCGCCCGUCGCACCUACCGAUUGAAUGGUCCGGUGAAAUCUCGGGACGGCGGCUUGGUCGCUUGCGUCCGACUGCUGAAACUUGAUUAAACCAUAUCAUUUAGAGGAAGGUGAANUCGUAACA
rnacentral:rRNA from 1 species